rnacentral:rRNA from 1 species
UGGGGAUUAGUGGCGAACGGGUGAGUAACACGUGGGCAAUCUGCCCUGCACUCUGGGACAAGCCCUGGAAACGGGGUCUAAUACCGGAUACAACCACUGACCGCAUGGUCGGGUGGUGGAAAGCUCCGGCGGUGCAGGAUGAGCCCGCGGCCUAUCAGCUUGUUGGUGAGGUAGUGGCUCACCAAGGCGACGACGGGUAGCCGGCCUGAGAGGGCGACCGGCCACACUGGGACUGAGACACGGCCCAGACUCCUACGGGAGGCAGCAGUGGGGAAUAUUGCACAAUGGGCGAAAGCCUGAUGCAGCGACGCCGCGUGAGGGAUGACGGCCUUCGGGUUGUAAACCUCUUUCAGCAGGGAAGAAGCGAAAGUGACGGUACCUGCAGAAGAAGCGCCGGCUAACUACGUGCCAGCAGCCGCGGUAAUACGUAGGGCGCAAGCGUUGUCCGGAAUUAUUGGGCGUAAAGAGCUCGUAGGACGGCUUGUCGCGUCGGUUGUGAAAGCCCGGGGCUUAACCCCGGGUCUGCAGUCGAUACGGGCAGGCUAGAGUUCGGUAAGGGGAGAUCGGAAUUCCUGGUGUACGCGGUGAAAUGCGCAGAUAUCAGGAGGAACACCGGUGGCGAAGGCGGAUCUCUGGGCCGAUACUGACGCUGAGGAG